ACAUUUAAGAACUUCGUAGAAACAAAACAUUGCUAAAAUAUUUGUCUUUCCCUUCCUCUAUUUGUUUUAUUAUGAAAUAUAUUCUGAAUUUAAUGAAUAUGUUCCUAGCUUGAUGCUUAAAUUUAAAUCUCUAUUUAGUGCUUCCCAUUUAAAUAAUAAUCGUAUUUCGAGUUAUGUCGAUUUUUUGACGUCUGCACUCGAGAGUUUCGAUACGAUUAAUGGAAAGCAUUGUAGAGAUAAGUGACAAUAAAUACAGAUACAAAGCGCCCUCAUGAAAAGUGUACUAAUUUUCAAGUGGCAAACGCGCUUAACCAUUAUCUUCGACAAAUGUUUUCUUCCUUUGCUAGCUCUGCUGACCCGCUGGCCUCUGCUGACAGAGAACCGGCAAAAUGGACGGUAUUGUAUUGAACGCGUCCGAUCGUGUCUUAGAAGUGAUUUUCUCUUAUCUAGAUUUGCACACUUUAAAAAAUUGUGCAUUGGUAUGUAAAAGGUGGUAUAAAUUUUUAAGAGAUGAAAAUAACGAUGUAUGGAGAAUUCAUUGUAGUAGAACAUUAGCUCAAGAGGCACUUAGUUCUGAUUUAUUAUCAUCGGUACCCACUUACAAAGCGAAGCUUCGAGCAUAUUAUCAUGCUUGGAAUCCGAACGAUUGUUCGCGUAAUGUUUAUAUUAAGUCCAAUGGAUUUACAUUGCAUAGGAAUCCAGUUGCACAAAGCACAGAUGCUUGUAGAGGUAAAAUAGGUUUUCGGCAUGGACGUCAUGCAUGGGAAGUAAUAUGGGAAGGACCAUUAGGUACAGUAGCUGUUGUAGGUAUAGCUACAAAAGAGGCGUCUUUGUUAUGUCAUGGAUAUGUAGCUCUGCUUGGUUCUGAUGAACACUCUUGGGGGUGGAAUCUCGUUGACAAUCAUUUAUUACACAAUGGAAAUGCACAAGGGAGUUAUCCAUUACUUAAUAAUGCUCCAACAUACCAGAUAGGAGAAAAAAUCAGAGUCAUACUGGACUGUGAUGAUAACACAUUGUCAUUUGAAAAGAAUUAUGAGUUUCUAGGUGUAGCUUUUAGAGGGCUACCAGAUAGACGGUUAUAUCCAUCGGUUUCUGCAGUAUAUGGAAAUUCAGAAAUAUCAAUGGUAUACAUAGGGCCACCUCUAGAUGGCUAACGUUUUACUUCCAACAAAAAGAUAUAUUUGAAUACUUAUCCAAAACUACAUUCUGCAGUUUGCUGCAGAGCUUGUGGCAUCUUAUAUCGACGUAUCUACGUUUCAGUAGAUCUAGCACACUAAAAGAUAUUAUUCUCUUAUUAGAGAAUGUGUGCCUACUAAAUUACGUGAUCCAUUAUAAGGUCAUAUAAUGAUCAUGAUAUAGGAUAAAAGUAUUUUUAUGAAUUCCAACCAUAUAAUUUCAAUAUUAUACUGGAACUGAAUUUAAUAUAAAUUUUUAUCGUAUUUUGGCCAGUUUAUAAAACACUAAAAUUACUAUUUAUUC
rnacentral:misc_RNA from 1 species